UACGUAGGGUGCAAGCGUUGUCCGGAAUUAUUGGGCGUAAAGAGCUCGUAGGCGGUUCAGUAAGUCGGGUGUGAAAACUCUGGGCUCAACCCAGAGAUGCCACCCGAUACUGCUGUGACUUGAGUACGGUAGGGGAGCAGGGAAUUCCUGGUGUAGCGGUGAAAUGCGCAGAUAUCAGGAGGAACACCGGUGGCGAAGGCGCUGCUCUGGGCCGAAACUGACGCUGAGGAGCGAAAGCGUGGGUAGCAAACAGG
rnacentral:rRNA from 1 species